UUUUUUUUUUUUUUGUGUUGUUUUGUUUCUGUUUCAUUUUUCCUAAUUCGUAUUUUAUUUAGGAUUAUACACAUUUUUUGUGCUACAUGGACAUCACCUGAAGGGAGAAUACCUUUCGCAAUGUGCAGUCAAUCAAGACGAAGGGAGAUGCUGAUUCAGUCGAAUACCACCAAGCAGAUUAUCUGUGAAUGGCUAUGAAAGGAGUGAUGCGGUAAAGGAAAAAUUUUCGCGAGAGCUAUUUUAAACAUCAAUUUGGAUUCUAGGAAAGCCCCAUGGCCGAUUAAAGAUGAACGUUUCUGAAGAAAUGCGCAUCCCAACCUUCUCUGCUUUGUGGUAACGCUAUGACCCAACACGGGCUUUUUAUUUGUCAACCGAAAACUGGUUCAUAGAAAGGAAGAAUGCCAAAGCCAGGCAUGCACUUCAAUUUAAAAAAAUAAAACGUUAUUUUUCUGGAAAGCACCAUGUUAAACUUGAUGAACAUAUAGGACAGUUCCUGCUUUUGGCUGGGCAUACGACUAUUGGCCAUGUUAUAAGAAUCGUGAGAAAUCUCAGUAGUUUUACUGCGAGAGUGGCAGUACUUUUCAAAACACAAUGGGUUCUCAGCAGGAUCUACUUGACUUCGACUGUUAAAACAUUUUGUUGCUCUAGCGAAACCAAACAUGUCCCCCAAUAGGGAUUCUAUCAAAAGUCUGUCUCCAACUUUUUCCUGGGAAUUCUCCUAACAGAUGGAGUUUUGGAUUUCGAAAGCGUCUGCUCUAAAACCUUAGGUCGCGCCUAUUGCCCCUGAACUUUUGAGGGGCAAUAGACUUUUUUAUAAAAAAAUCCAUUGUUGGAGCAGCAGAACUAAAAAAUUUUGUUUUCUGAGUAUUUUUACACCUUGUGUUCCUCUCAAAUUUUCCUUAAUGUGAUUCCACAUUUGUGACUUGAAGAACAAAACAAAAAGUCUGUGUUCCUGACCCCAGAGCUGUAGGAUUCUGGACACAUGGAUGCAUGAGCUGUAAGAAAACUUAAGGUUCCUUAAGUCCACCCGAUUCAUUUUUCUUCCCCCCUGUCAUUAAGAAGAAAAGACAAACAUGACUUGAAAAUGUUUGCAGCAUAGUUAUUACAGUCUUAUUAAACUAACCAACAUGAGGAACCUUAAGUUUCAAAUCUGUGUAACCAGAAUGGUGUACGUGUUUUGUCAUGUCUUGUCAAUGUCUUACAUUUGGCAUCUUUUACACUCAUUCCCUAGAAAAAAUGUAAUGUAAGUAACGCAGAUGAUUGAUAUUUAUGGAAUGUUAGUAUAGCAUAUAUUCACCUGUCAGGCAUUCUGUACUGCAAAGGUGUCAGGGAAGAAUCACAGUUGUUCAAAUUUUGUGAUACAGUUAAAUGUAGGUUCAUUGUUGUUUUUGCUGAGGGCUCUCAAUCCCGAAAUUAAAAUUUUAAUCGAUAAGAUUUAAAUUAUUGAAAAGACAGUACAGAAUGAUGGUUGCAGACUGCGGAAACGCAUAAGGUUUCGGAAAAGUCUAAUAAGGGCAAUAGCAAAAAAGUCCUUUUUUUAUUGCAAACGACCUUUUUUUAUUUUCAUUCGGAAUCCAGAGGAUUGGUUUUUGCAAAUCAGGCUUAGUAAAAACUUUGCCUUGUAGCUAGUACGUGUCUACGUGAUGAACCCAAGAAUUAUCCAUCAGCGUAAGAAAUGUUACACCUGGUAAAAACAACUACAAGAAUGGAAAAUAACUUUAUAGACAAUGGUUAACACCAAGUAUGAAGAAAGUAUUCUUCUUCUCACCAUAGGUCAGCUGUGCUUGCCUUCUUGGUUACAAUGAAGAAGAAUCAUUAGUAUCGAAUUUUUUAACAGAUGAGUUCGUAUUGUGUGUUCCUGUUGAUAUCUCUCUUAAUGUGAUGAAGUAUGAGUAGAUCUUUCUUGAAUUCGUGAGUAGGCGUGAGAGAUUUGGAGAAACAGCCUAUUAAUCGUCCCUAAAAACGGGUCCGGAGGAUCUUCUGUUAAUAUAUCCCAAAUGAUUACCUGCGUUUGGCCAGCGUGAAAAUUGUACAACAUUUUUACAGCUGAUUCUUUCCAAACACUUGAACAGUAUGGAUGUGUGACAGAGGAUGCAUGCAAAAAAUGCCAAACGUAGGCUGCGUGGACGAGAUGAAGGCCUGGCAGAAUAUGUGUGGUGAUUUCAAGUGAGUAAUAUCUGCCCUGCAAAACAACUUGUUGGUCUUACAAGAUUAUGAAGUUCUUGUAAGAUCUAAAUUUCCUGUACGAUUUGACUGUAAUAAAUUCCACCUUUUGAAAUGA